GGGAAGGGGGCAACGAUUAAAUUUGAAAUGGGGAGAGAGGGCUCAUACAACACAUGAAGGAAUACAAGGAUCUAUUCAAGAACAUAUAGAUUUACUUCAAAUAGCAAUUUCAAGGAUGUCACUAAGGACGGGUAUAAAAACCAGAACAGUGGGAAAAGCUGAUGAUCUCCAUGGCGUUGAUGGUCUUAUCAUACCAGGUGGAGAAUCAACUACCCUGAAGAAAUUUCUGAAUGAGGAUUUUCUAAAUACUCUUCAAGACUGGAGGGAAGGGGGGAGAACAGGUCAGUGGAUAUGAUCUAGAAGUAUACGGAAAAAAGCACCUAGGUGCAAUGUUUG
rnacentral:misc_RNA from 1 species